AACUUUGACCUUACUUGUGUAGAACACGGGGGACGCCGUGACACUGAAAAGAUAGUACCAGUGGAGCCGUCCUUGAAAUACCACCCUGGUAAUGUUGAGGUUCUAACUCUGUCCCGUGAUCCGGGGCGAGGACCGUGUCUGGUGGGUAGUUUGACUGGGGCGGUCUCCUCCUAAAGAGCAACGGAGGAGUACGAAGGUGCGCUCAGAGUGGUCGGAAAUCACGCGUAGAGUAUAAAGGCAAAAGC
rnacentral:rRNA from 1 species